rnacentral:rRNA from 1 species
AACGUAGGAGACAAACGUUAUCCGGAGUUACUGGGCGUAAAGGGCGUGUAGGCGGUCUGUUAAGUCUGGCGUGAAAGCUCUCGGCUAAACCGGGAGAGGUCGUUGGAUACUGGCAAGACUAGAGGAUGGUAGAGGCGUGUGGAAUUCCGGGUGUAGUGGUGAAAUGCGUAGAUAUCAGGAGGAACACCGGUGGCGAAGGCGGCUUUCUGGACAGAAACUGACGCUGAUGCGCGAAAGCUAGGGGAGCAAACAGG